AAGGUAACAAAUUAGAGCUUGACAGGAAGCAUCUCAUUUACACUGAGAAUUUAAUUGUGCGAUUCAAUUUAAUUUG
rnacentral:tRNA from 1 species